CCACUCACACGUCACACCCAUUAUAAAACACCUCUCUUCUUCAUCUUCUACUUCAAUUUAUAUAGUCCAACCCCAAAAAUCUCCUUAGCAAAAUACAAAUCCCUUGGGAGUUUAGGAUGAUUUGCAACGUCCAUGCUUCUAAGUCUUCUUCUUUGGUACAUGAAGGAUACAACAAUGCCUCCUUCAACCCUUGAAUUUCCCAAAAUUCAACUCUAAUUCUGCCAUGAAGAACACCACCACCAAUGAUACCAACAAUUUCAACAUCACCUGGCACUCUCAAAAAGCUGACAACAAUGACCACCACUCCUUCAUGAGAAAAUUCAACAAAAAAGGACCCGAAUGAUUUUGAGCGAAAGAUGGUGGUGGGCGGCAUGAACGACUUCUGAGCGAGGGAAAGUGGUGGGCGGCACGGCGCAGCAGCAUGAUUUUGGACUGUGGUACCUGGAAUGAUGUGCUCCAUCUUACCUAGAAAGCUCUACUCAACAGAAGAGAACAGAAAUUUUCUUAGAUACCAACUCAAGAAGUACAUAAGAUGUUUUACUCCUAGUGGUGACAUCCUCUUCGAGUACCAUGGGGUUCUUAAACAAGGACGAUUCUCAUAGCCAAGAUUGGAAUUUUGGUUCCCUUUGUUGCGGUGGACUAGACACUUUACUACAAGAAUAAACCUCAAUUGGUCAUUCAGCUGUCCCUAGCCGAUCGCACUGGCCGGCCCUGCCCUGGCCCUAGUUGAUUGGACAAGCUGACUUCGUCCAAUCCAGCCCACUGCGUUUAUUGGUAGUGAUGAAAAAUUGUGUGGUAUGGCUAUGGAGUUCACAUUACCGGCUUUUUGCACUAUCUUUGGUGCUGGGCUUAUUAACUUCUCAAAGACACACUGAUUUUUCGCUUUCCAAGUGUUCUAACACAAGGCCGCAAUGAAGAGGAUCUUUUGUCUAUCAUCGAUUUGAGCCGCUGCCUAAGAUAAGCCUCGUUGCUACCAAUUGGGAAAGGUCUCCUCUUCUCUCUGCCAUAAGUAAGGGGUUAUUAAGUUUAGUCUCCAUAUUAUUGAAGACAGAGGCCAUUGGACCAGAGCAUGAGAAAUUGAUUCAUCUUUUAGCAUGCAUCUGGAGCAAGGGGUAGAUGCAAAACAGCUAUGGAUUUGUUACAACACAGAAAGUUUUUCAUGAAGACUUCCACAAAAAAAUCUUAAUUUUAUGAGGUUCGGUUGGAUUGUAAUUGCAACUUGAGGGACAUUAAAGAGAAAUGAUGGUAGGAGCCAGGGAUCUUGGAAGAUGCGGACAUUAGCAUCAGAACCUAUUUUCCAUAACAAGCAUUUUUCAAUCACCUUGCACCUUUCAAGAACAGGUCUCCAGUCCCACGACGUAGCACUUAUAUGGUGAGCCAUUAUUACUGUCAGCUUGUGUUACAAUAGAGCUCGGUGGAUCCUCAGGACUUGGUUUAUUCACCUAAGAGUCCAAAUAAAAUUCAGUGUUAACACUAAAACAAGAUAACAAGAUGGAAACAAGAUGUGAAUGAAUCACUUAUACAAUUAAGAAGACAAAGAUGAAAGUACCGGUGUGACUUGCUCAAUGCCAAUGGCACCAUUACUGCAAUGAUCAUUGCUUCCAGCACAAUUACUGGAAAAAUACAACAUUCAUUUAGAUAUAAUACUAUCAUCAUUUCUCAAAAUAGAACAGCAUAUUUUAAUAUACUAUACUUAGCAAGAAUUGUAAUAAUGAAUAUUAACAUAUAUCAAAUCCACAAGACCCCAUCAAAAUUUAAGCCUAGUGAGGAACUUCAAUUGAAUGAAUGCAACUAAAAUUCCAAAUUUCCAAUAAUAUAGAGGGUAUAGUGUUAUGCCGAAUGCAACUUCUUUGAUCUCCUUCCAACUUGUUCUCCACAGAGUAUUUGAUGGAUCUAAUGCCAUUAUAAUCUCAUUUCAUGUUAGGAAUUAAUAAACAGAGAUGAUACAUACUUGUGGAUUUGUG